GGACUACCCUACAGGAUCCAUCCUGAAAUAUACAAUGCCAGCAUUAAUUAAUUCAUUACAUGAAUAGUUCAAGAAUCCAACGAGUGCAGGAAUUCCAAGGAAAGAGAACAUAUGUGAGGUGCCACCCACAUGAACACAGUUUGGGCUGUAAUGUAGUAUUGAAAAAGUUACGAAGAUCUUAAAGGACAAACUUAUUUGGGAAUAAAGAAUGGAAACUAAGCAAGCUAAGUAGGCACUCCCUUACUAGCCAGAAUUUAUGUAGGAAUUAACGCUACAUUUAGUAGACCGUAAUGUAAUCAAAUUUUCUAUUGAAUCUCAAUAGAAAAUUUGAUUACAUCAUAUUGCGCACUACUGUCUACCAAAUGUAGCAAGAAAAAAAUAAGGAAAGAUGAUCCCAGGCUUCUUCAGUAACAAUUGGCUUGCAUCUUUAAUCCACUAUUUUCUUUGUAACAUGUGGGAUCCACUGUAUUCUUCGGUAAGAAUUGCCUUGCAUCUUUAAUCCACUAUCACGUGAGUGCAGGCUUCACUCACCAUUUUCAAAAUGCAAAAUUAGUAAUUGCUUUGCUAGUUAUACAUAAGGUUCUGAUAAGAACAAAUUACAAGGAAAGAAUGUCACUUGUCCAAGGGUAAUUUCCACCCAAAAAAUCUAGGAGCAAUCUCCACUCCUCAAACUUUGCAAUAGAUCCAAGUAUCCGAAGCAUUCAGGACUGAUAUACCUGCAACGAAUGCAGAUGAUUUAGAAUUCUCAAAGCAUAAUCACCACAUUGUAGAUAUGUUUACUAUUUUGUUUUUUUAACUCUGUCCAAGUUCAGAUCACUCAAGAGGUACAAUGCAAUAAACAAGCAAUGACUAGACUAAAAUAAGGCAAAGGAUUAGAAGGUACACACUUGAGUUGUGCCUCUAGUAAUUUUCUCCAUACUUGAACAAUGACAACCUUGUUAAAUGCUUAACACAGCACUGGCGAAGGGCCACUAAAGAUACAUUUUGAUCCCCUUCAUGAUUUCUAUAGGUUUCAAUGAUCAGGAAUAUAUAUGUAUUGAUGACUUGUUCCCUCUUCGACAUUUCCAUAACAAGAUUGCUUAAGCCUAUUCUAUUCUCCCUGUACAUGUUCCAGGAUCAAAGCCUUGAGUCCAGGCUUGGGGCUUCAUAAAAGGGAAGGAAGGCAGCAAAAUCCUAAAUGCAGAGUCGUAGAGGCUCGCUGACUUCUUUACUGGCUGGGAAGGCCCUUAGAUAUGAAAGGCAGAAUCUAAAAAGUUAAUUAUGUGUAAGUAUCUGGCUCUAACAUGUGCUAGAAGUAGGUCAGAGACGCACACAAGUGAAGGAAAGAGGAUGGAGCUGACCGCAUAAAUAAUUUGGUACUAAUCAAUAGAUGGAUAUUACUAUCGAUAAUAUAGAUGAGAGUUCUCUCUUUUAAGUUAAAUGACUAGGCAUAGGUUUGAAAAUGAUUAAAUGACAAAUCAAAAGGGUCAAAACAAAUAGCAGAAACAAUAGAGAAGAAAUACCCAUGCCGAAACAGGAAAUCAAUAAUGACAAGGGAGCAGUUUGGCUUGAAAAAAUGUGUCCUCCGAAUAAUAUUUGCAACAUUUUUCACGGGGAUCAACUUGAAACUCUCCACUUCUCCAUCUGCCACAUUAUAAGGGCAUCAUAAAGGAUUAGAAAAAAUUGCAAAGAAAUAUAUGGUUCAAGGAUUUAAUAUUCAAAUUUAGAAGCAAAAUUAAAAUGUCCAAGGAUAUCAACUUUUAACUACAACUAAACUGAAUGCAAGAAGAAGCUCGAUGACUUUACCUUGAUUAUUAGGUAGAAAACUAUCAGGAAGUUUCAAAUCAUAACAAAAUAGAACAUCUCUCUUGUAUCUAUAACCUUCAAUGUCCGCAUAAGAAACAGCACCAAUUGGUACAGCUCUGUGAGAGGAACAAUUAUGAAAACAUCAUCAGAAAGAGAGUGGCUGCAACAGUAUCAAGGUCAAUUGAGGAUGUGAAUCUGCCAUCCCAAGGAUUGACUUCCUGGCCAAUACAAUACAAUGCAUGCUGGAUGUACUGAAUAAUUCAGUGGCUAUAGAAAAAUUACUUGUGUGAAAUGGAUUGAGGUAUUCCUGCCUCCUCUUCACAUUCCUUCAUAACAUUCUCUCCACAAGAGAUCCCAUAAGGCAGUCCUCCAGCAACAAGGUGAUCUAGCAUCCCUGGAAACGUGGGUUUCACUUCGCUUCUCUUUCCAAUCCAUAGAAAUUUCUCCCCAUCUUUUUCAACAAAUCCAUUCAUGUGAACUCCAUAGGCCUUUAUUCCAAAAAAAGGAGCUGCAGCACGUUCCAACGAAAAGUAGACAGGAGAACCAAACGAUGAUACCACAGGAUACAGCUCAUUUCGUAUACCUGGAAUCAGUUCUUCUUCUCCUAAACAUUUGAUAACUUCUCCAACAACUCUAGUUCUAUCCUCCGGCGUCUUUAGAAUUUCAUGUAACGUUACAUAGCUCUGAAAGCGACCUCCAUCGGAAUUACUUCGAGGGAAAACAAAAACAUCCUUGAACGUCCUCAACCGAUCAACAAAACCGUUAUGUAUAUAACCAACAAUUUGAUCUUCGAUAAUGAAUCGAAUAAACUCAGAUUGCCUUUCAGAGCCGCGAUUGCAGACUUCGAUCUUUUCGAAAAAGCCAGAGAGAUCUGAGGAAUCGUGAGGAACAUGAUCAGGUUGAGAGACUCGGACGACGUCGUCCCAAGUGAAGCUACUGGUACUGGCUCUACUGCUUCUAGCAUUAGAAAUAAGGGCGCGAAGUGGAAAUGUCCGCGCCGUUGAGGGCAUCUUAGGAGGAGCAAUAAAGGAUUUUGAUGCGCAGAGAGAAGAAAAUGAGAAACGGAGUUUGGUUGAAAAAUGGUGGUGACGGUGAGGAAUGCAACAUUCCAUCGGAGCUGAAAACUGGACGGAGAAGAUUAUAAUACUACCGCAGGAGUCCUUCAAGGCGGCUGAGCUUGAAGAUUUUAGCGUUGAAGCCUGAAGCCCUCGCUUUCAG
rnacentral:misc_RNA from 1 species